UACGGAGGGAGCUAGCGUUAUUCGGAAUUACUGGGCGUAAAGCGCACGUAGGCGGCUUUGUAAGUCAGAGGUGAAAGCCUGGAGCUCAACUCCAGAACUGCCUUUGAGACUGCAUCGCUUGAAUCCAGGAGAGGUGAGUGGAAUUCCGAGUGUAGAGGUGAAAUUCGUAGAUAUUCGCAAGAACACCAGUGGCGAAGGCGGCACACUGGACCACAACUGACGCUGAGGCGCGAAAGCCAGGGGAGCAAACGGG
rnacentral:rRNA from 1 species